UGGGGAAUCUUCCGCAAUGGGCGAAAGCCUGACGGAGCAACGCCGCGUGAGGGAUGAAGGCCUCUGGGCUGUAAACCUCUUUUCUCAAGGAAGAAGAUCUGACGGUACUUGAGGAAUAAGCCACGGCUAAUUCCGUGCCAGCAGCCGCGGUAAUACGGGAGUGGCAAGCGUUAUCCGGAAUUACUGGGCGUAAAGCGUCCGCAGGCGGCCUCGUAAGUCUGUCGUUAAAGCGUGGAGCUUAACUCCAUUUCAGCGAUGGAAACUGUGAGGCUAGAGUGUGGUAGGGGCAGAGGGAAUUCCCGGUGUAGCGGUGAAAUGCGUAGAUAUCGGGAAGAACACCAGUGGCGAAGGCGCUCUGCUGGGCCAUAACUGACGCUCAUGGACGAAAGCCAGGGGAGCGAAAGGGAUUAGAUACCCCUGUAGUC
rnacentral:rRNA from 1 species